GAUGAACGCUAGCGGCAGGCUUAAUACAUGCAAGUCGAGGGGCAUCAAGGUACACGAAAGUGUAUUGUUGGCGACCGGCGGACGGGUGAGUAAUAGGUAGGUAACCUACCUCAUACUGAGGCAUAGCUGGGAGAAAUUCCAGGUAAUUCCUCAUGAGGUUAUAUGACACAUGUGAUAUAAUCAAAGGUAUCGCAAGGUACUGGUAUGAGAUGGGCUUACUGACCAUUAGCUAGUUGGUGAGAUAAGAGCUCACCAAGGCGAAGAUGGUUAGGGGUUUUGAGAGAGAGAUCCCCCACAUUGGAACUGAGAUACGGUCCAGACUCCUACGGGAGGCAGCAGUAGGGAAUAUUGGGCAAGUGGGCGGAAGCCUGACCCAGCCAUGCCGCGUGAAGGAAGACGGCCUUAUGGGUUGUAAACUUCUUUACUAUGCGACUAACUAGAUUUACGAGAUAAUUCUAUAGAAUGUAGCAUAGACAAAAGCACC
rnacentral:rRNA from 1 species